rnacentral:rRNA from 1 species
GUUAGGAAUAUUGGACAAUGGGCGCAAGCCUGAUCCAGCCAUGCCGCGUGAACGAUGAAGGCCUUCGGGUUGUAAAGUUCUUUAGCCGAUGAUUAUAAUGACUGUAGUCGGAAAAUAAGCCCCGGCUAACUUCGUGCCAGCAGCCGCGGUAAUACGAAGGGGGCGAGCGUUAUUCGGAAUCACUGGGCGUAAAGCGUGCGUAGGCGGUCUCGUAAGUUAGGAGUGAAAGCCCAGGGCUCAACCUUGGAAUUGCUCUUAAAACUGCAAGGCUAGAAUCUCGGAGAGGAUAGCGGAAUUUCCAGUGUAGCAGUGAAAUGCGUAGAUAUUGGAAGGAACACCAGUGGCGUAAGCGGCUAUCUGGACGAGUAUUGACGCUGAGGUACGAAAGCGUGGGGAUCAAACAGGAUUAGAUACCCCGGUAGUCC